GGCUCAGUAGCUUAGUUGGUAAAGCGCUCUUCUAGCAUACAAGAGUCCUGGGUUCGAAUCCUAGCCGUGCAC
rfam:Aedes aegypti strain Liverpool supercont1.1079 genomic scaffold, whole genome shotgun sequence.